UUCAUAAUCCAAAUUUCAAUUUUUAGAGUUGACCCGUUCAAAAAAUUAAAGGGGUGGGACAUGUAUAACUACAUUUUUCCAUGUUAAAAAGAUCAUCAUUUGUAUGAAUUGAUGUUUCGAACAUAUCCCGAAAUGAUCUGAAGUUCUCAAUAUCCCCGUUAUCCAUAUUUUGCCAAAUUUAUAGUUACCUAGUUGUAGUACUCACCUCAGAGCAAAGAGUAGGAAACCAUAACAUGGAAGACACUAUAGGAAUAAGCAAGACCAGGUAACUGCCCAAUAGAACACACUAAAAAAAAUGCUUUAACAUAAAAGAGAACAGUUCGUGAACUAAUGGAGAAUGAUACAUUUAACUAAAUAUAUUUGAUAUAUUAUUAUUA
rnacentral:lncRNA from 1 species